UACAGUCAGUCUACACAGAGUACCAUCUGGCCCGCUGGGGCUUCUUCUUCUGCAAUAAUUUCUCUCAAACUUCUUUGUUUCAAUUUGCAUAUUCCAACACCUCAAAUGGGUACACUUCACUUUUCUCACUUGCUUUUCAAACUGCACCAAAACCAGAAUGUACAUUCACAGCCAAAAAAAAAAAAAAAAAACACAACCUUUGUGGAAGUGUUUGAUUCAUUAGAUGUUUUGAAAGGUGGGGUUUUCUUCAAAAUUGGACCUUUUGUUCUCCAGGCUUUGCAAUUGUCACCAGAGAACCAACAUUGAUCAGAAAAUUAGCAAUGUUUUUUACGCAAGACACUGUAUGCUUUCUAAGGAAAUCUACCCUGAUGGUGGGCCAUUACAUGCCUCACCUGAUGUACUACAUCACUCUUGUCUUGGUUGAAGUAUUUGGCCAAUUCCAGGCAGAAGAGAGUCCUUCCAUCUGACUUGAAAUGGCUGGCUUGAAUUGGGUCUUGUGGAUUAAAGGAUGACCUCCAGUUAUUCAGCAGACCAGUCCUGUUUAUUAUCACAAAACCUUCAAUGUAAUCAAACGUCCUCCCCAAAGAUAUUAGAUGCUCCUGGUCUUGGGCAAAUGUGGCGAAAUCCGACUUAAAUGAUUUUGGUUUUUACCAUAUCCGGUGCUGGCUCCAGUGAUAUUCUUGCUCGGGUUAUAAUGCCAAACUGGCCAAGUCCUCCAAGAACACUGUGAAAGAGGUCACUGUUAUGCUUCUCUGAACAAGUUACAACGUCACCUUUUCCUGCACAUAUUUGGGUCCAACUUUCAGCUUUCAUGCAGGAUAUUUAUCCAUAAUUCGCCACCAGAGACAUCCACAUAUGGAGAAUUUCCAGUGUAAACCUGCAUUUCUGGGCCUUGGAGAGACUCCAUACUGAUCACAACUCCACGGUGUGCUUGGGACUGGCCCUGGAGUGCGUGACCAUGGCCUCUAGCUGCAACUGUGAGCUCUGAAUGAGAACCCAUCUGCCAAAUAUGCUUUAUAGUAUUGGCAAUAUCAGAAACUGACUUUGGAUGCAGUAUUGCUGCAGGGAGGAAUUGGUACCUGUUACCAAAAUCUUUGGCCGCAAAGUGAACUUCAUCAAAGGUGAAAUGACCAUCAAGGGGAAGUGAUUUUAAUGUAGAAGGGAUGCUUGAAAGACAAAGGUUAUUUCUAAAAGCUAUGCAGCUUAAGAAUAGGAUCAUGAAGACUCUUAUGAAAAAAAUGUUGUUUUGUCUAACAAAGCUAACUUGUGGGUAUCUCAUUUUUUUUUUUUGUCAGAAGAGAGGGGAGGCAAAGGUGGAAGGAGUUUUAAUGCUAUAGCUUUUGUUUCUUUGUGAGCAAAAGCAAAGGAGAGGUUUGGAAGAGCCAAGGAAGUGAAGGGUUUAGGAGAGAAUUUAUAGGGGAAGGUUUGGGUGGCUAAUAAGUCAACCUAUCUUCAGUUGUUAGAGUCCGUAUGAAGACUGCCUACUUGGGUGGAAGAGUUUUAGGAUUUUCUUUUAGUUCUCCCUUCAAAGCUGUUUUCUUUAUAAGAGAAGCCAUCACACAUAUGCCAAAUUGGAGAGGAAAGUUACAAGAAAGAAAGAUUGCACGAAUCUUUGCACUUUUUCUAACAGUUGCAAACAUAACCCCACCUUUACCAUCAAGGACAACACGUCUCAAAACAUAUAUAUUUUGUUUUUCUUAAACCAAAUUAAGGAUAUUUUUCCCUUAUUUAGAAAAAAGUAGCCCCUUUGCCAUAAGGCGUAUUUUCCUGCCUAUAAUGAACGUACACACCAUAUCCGUGUCUUACUCAUAUGAAUGAUGAGUAUGUUCUUCCUAAAUCUAUUGUUGUCGGAAUUUUAACGUCGCAUAUCUUCUUUCAGAUCAGAUGAGAGAGACUAGCUGGGGCUAGCCUUGAUUCAUUUCAGAGGUAUAGAGAUGGACCAGUGGGGUAUUAAGGGUCCACAGGGCACGUGAACAUUCAAAUGGAUGUGUGCUUGUGGGGGGAAGGAAGAUGAUUGGUUAUGUUGGGGACCUUUUGGGGCCACUGUGAUGGGCUAAGGUGGAGAGAUUGAACAUGGGGAUGAUAGCAUAGAGGAAGCACUGAAAGAUUUCUCGUUUGCCUAUUUGCUGGUAUUGUUUUGAUGCCUUGGUUCCCAUCAAUCGGACAAGCUUGAAGGAUUCUCUUUGUUUAUAUGUUUUGUAUGCAAUUAAAUUUACUUUAGUGCAUAUUUUACUUUCCCACUUUUUGUUGCAAGUUGUCUAAGAGCACCCAAUGGGAAAUCUGCAAAUCCAAAGGAAAGCAUCACCCCCAUAUCUCUUUUUAUGGCUAUAUUAAUCUGUCACCUCCAAUGGUAGGCAAUAGGCAUCAAUGCUUGUAUAAUUCUUGUGUUCUUGAAAGUAGAACAAUGUCCUGUGUAGUUUUUGCAUGUGGUCCUCAAGAUAGUAUAAAUCACUUGGCACUGUA